UGCUUUUCAAGACUGUGUUGUGCAACAUGAUUAUUUUUUAAACACCAUGAUUGAUUCCUCUCCCAAAGAUAAAGGAUGCUUCAAUAGAAUAAAGGUGAACAAGUUUACUUUUAAAUUCCAGCUGUAAUAUAAGUUUGGAUCAGAAUUGCCCAGGAAGCCUAGAUAAGAUCAGUUGUCAAAAAAAAGUACAUGUUUCAGCUGCUGUGUAAGGGAAGCCUAGAAGACAGAGUUACAGUGGACCUUGGAGUUGCCGUCUGCCAGCAAGGAAUAACAUGCAGCUCGUGAGUCACUGCCCCAGUGUAAGCAGACAAAGCUCUCACAGAGUCAGAGCAGGAUCCACUUGUAAUGCAGAUAGCAGAGAAGAUAAACAGCUGAUGGAAAAGGAUCAUCUGGCAAAACAAUGGAGCAUUGCAGUCUGAACUGUAAGGGAAUUGUAUCUGUGGAACAGGGAAAAAAAAGAACCCUUCCCUUUCUAAAGCUAGGUGGAGACCUAAGUAUCCUAAUGAGUCUCUGCAGCUUGGCCAUAGUAUGCCUAAACACCACUGUGUUAAUUCUCCAAGAGUAGGAGGCAAAUAAAACCUUCAUCAGUGACUAGACAAUGGCAGAUGUUUUCUGGAUAAAUGGAGCUCUGUUUUUCCUGAUCUCCUUGUUUACCUGCAAAAAGUGUGCUGGAGGCUGUACUCUGCAUUCAUUUCCAAGCUAGGCAUCUGCAUGAUAGAUGCUAAACCUGAAGCAGCUUUUAUAAGAUUUCUUUGCAUGAAUAAAAUCAGUUGUCUCUGAAGGUGAUUAAUUGCAUCUGGACUUAUAGGAUUGCUCAGAGAAUUUGUCUUCUGGGUAAUCUAUUAUUCUCUCUCCUUUGGGUCUGCUGAGAGUAUAGUAACUAAUUCAGAUGAAAUUUUCAAUCUUUUAACUGUUUAAAACUAAAUAAGGUGAAGCUUAUAUUGUCUGAGUUUUAGCUUGAAGAAGGAUAGGAUAAAUAUAUUAAAAAUAAAAGGUUUUUCCUGUUUA